rnacentral:rRNA from 1 species
CGGUCUACCAUGCAGUCGAACGAUGAAGCCCAGCUUGCUGGGUGGAUUAGUGGCGAACGGGUGAGUAACACGUGAGUAACCUGCCCUUAACUCUGGGAUAAGCCUGGGAAACUGGGUCUAAUACCGGAUAGGAGCGCCUACCGCAUGGUGGGUGUUGGAAAGAUUUAUCGGUUUUGGAUGGACUCGCGGCCUAUCAGCUUGUUGGUGAGGUAAUGGCUCACCAAGGCGACGACGGGUAGCCGGCCUGAGAGGGUGACCGGCCACACUGGGACUGAGACACGGCCCAGACUCCUACGGGAGGCAGCAGUGGGGAAUAUUGCACAAUGGGCGCAAGCCUGAUGCAGCGACGCCGCGUGAGGGAUGACGGCCUUCGGGUUGUAAACCUCUUUCAGUAGGGAAGAAGCGAAAGUGACGGUACCUGCAGAAGAAGCACCGGCUAACUACGUGCCAGCAGCCGCGGUAAUACGUAGGGUGCGAGCGUUAUCCGGAAUUAUUGGGCGUAAAGAGCUCGUAGGCGGUUUGUCGCGUCUGUCGUGAAAGUCCGGGGCUUAACCCCGGAUCUGCGGUGGGUACGGGCAGACUAGAGUGCAGUAGGGGAGACUGGAAUUCCUGGUGUAGCGGUGGAAUGCGCAGAUAUCAGGAGGAACACCGAUGGCGAAGGCAGGUCUCUGGGCUGUAACUGACGCUGAGGAGCGAAAGCAUGGGGAGCGAACAGGAUUAGAUACCCUGGUAGUCCAUGCCGUAAACGUUGGGCACUAGGUGUGGGGACCAUUCCACGGUUUCCGCGCCGCAGCUAACGCAUUAAGUGCCCCGCCUGGGGAGUACGGCCGCAAGGCUAAAACUCAAAGGAAUUGACGGGGGCCCGCACAAGCGGCGGAGCAUGCGGAUUAAUUCGAUGCAACGCGAAGAACCUUACCAAGGCUUGACAUGUUCUCGAUCGCCGUAGAGAUACGGUUCCCCUUUGGGGCGGGUCACAGGUGGUGC